AGGACGAACGCUGGCGGCGUGCCUAACACAUGCAAGUCGAACGGGGUCCAACCGGUGGCAACACUGGUGAAGACCUAGUGGCGAACGGGUGAGUAACACGUGAGCAACCUGCCUCGAAGACUGGGAUAACCCCGGGAAACCGGAGCUAAUACCGGAUACCCCCACCGGGUCGCAUGGCCUGGUGAGGAAAUGGAUUCCGCUUUGAGAGGGGCUCGCGGCCUAUCAGCUUGAUGGUGGGGUAACGGCCUACCAUGGCACCGACGGGUAGCUGGUCUGAGAGGACGAUCAGCCACACUGGGACUGAGACACGGCCCAGACUCCUACGGGAGGCAGCAGUGGGGAAUCUUGCGCAAUGGGCGAAAGCCUGACGCAGCAACGCCGCGUGUGGGACGAAGGCCUUCUGGGUUGUAAACCACUUUCAGCAGGGACGAUUGUGACGGUACCUGCAGAAGAAGCCCCGGCCAACUACGUGCCAGCAGCCGCGGUAAUACGUAGGGGGCGAGCGUUGUCCGGAAUUAUUGGGCGUAAAGAGCUCGUAGGCGGCUUGGCAAGUCACGUGUGAAAUCUCCAGGCUCAACCUGGUGAUGCCACGUGAUACUGCCAUGGCUUGAGUCCGGUAGGGGACCAUGGAAUUCCUGGUGUAGCGGUGAAAUGCGCAGAUAUCAGGAGGAACACCAGUGGCGAAGGCGGUGGUCUGGGCCGGUACUGACGCUGAGGAGCGAAAGCGUGGGGAGCGAACAGGAUUAGAUACCCUGGUAGUCCACGCCGUAAACGUUGGGCACUAGGUGUGGGACCCUAUCGACGGGUUCCGUGCCGCAGCUAACGCAUUAAGUGCCCCGCCCUGGGGAGUACGGCCGCAAGGCUAA
rnacentral:rRNA from 1 species